ensembl:antisense
UUCUCACUGCCCUUGACUCUCCGUGUGUUCCGUUCCCAAUACUCCGGCCCCUCCUGCUCCAUCCACGGCGCCCGCGGCUCAUAUCUCGGAUUCUUCGCGUCGCUGUCGAAGCGCACAAACUGCGUGUCGUCCACGUAGCCGACAGAGAUGAACCGGGGCUUCCCGAAGCCGGGCCGGGACACCGAGGUCUCGAAAUACCGCAGCGAGUGUGAGCCUGGGGGCGGCGCGCGGUGAAACUCGGACCUCCUCCCGAGACUCCCGGCGGUCCGUGGUCCGAGAGGGGAGCAGGGCGCGGGGGUCAGGGCGGCUGCCAGCAGCAGGAGCAGCCUUCCCAGUGCCAUUGCCCCAUCUGGAAUACAGGGCAUCUGAGGCCCUCGAGCUGCGUGGACUUUAUAACCAGCGCCCACAGAGUAGCUGGUUGGUUCCCCAGGAUCCUGCCACCCAAUGGACCUGCCAGAUAAUUCCUGCUACCUCAGGAGAACCUGGUCACAAUGUGGUCAGUGUGGAGACCCAGUAGCAACUCUAGGAAAGUGUCCAUGAUUUUUGCACAUGAAGAGAACUGAGAAGCACCUGAAGCCUGUGCUGUUGCUCGCUGUUAAACUGACAAAGCUCUCCCUAGUCCACACCAUCAGAGAUCUGGGAAGGAUGAAUUUCUCCUGAGAAAACAGGAAGUACAGACUAAGCAGUUUCCAAACCUAUUAAAAAUGGCAGACUUAUCCGUUACCUAGACAACCACUGAAGUAGUCUUAAUUUCAUUGGGGACGGAGGACCCAGGGCAACCUCAGUCUUCCCUGCCCAGUCCAGAAGAUCCAAAGCAGGGCCAUCAACUCCGCAGUGUCCUGCUUGUCCACAGUUUGGACAGGGUCCUGUUGACAGACAAGAUGAAAGGCAGAUUUUCACCCAGUAGUUCUGGCUUUGUCACCUUUAAAGCAAGCUCCAAGUGGAGUUCUUCUCUACCCCAUCAUCAUCUGAGAAGAC